AGGGGGUUAGCUCAAUAAGGCAGAGCAGCGGUCUCCAAAACCGCAGGCUGCGGGUUCAAGUCCCGCACCCCCUG
rnacentral:tRNA from 2 species